UAGGCGUGCAACUCGCCUACACGAAGCUGGAAUCGCUAGUAAUCGCGGAUCAGCACGCCGCGGUGAAUACGUUCCCGGGCCUUGUACACACCGCCCGUCACACCAUGAGAGUCUGUAACACCCAAAGCCGGUGGGAUAACCUUUAUAGGAGUCAGCCGUCUAAAGGUAGGACAGAUGAUUAGGGUGAAGUCGUAACAAGGUAGC
rnacentral:rRNA from 1 species